GUCUGGGAAAUCUUUUGGGGGAUUUUAUGUUCACUCGCCGUUCUGAGAAUCCUCUAAGCGAACGCGUGACGUGAAAGUCGGAAGACGGCGCACUUUCUCGUGAGAAUGCGAUACUGCCGAGUCUGUCACGCGCGGGGGCGUCAGGCAAGACUUCUGGCUGAAGAGGGCAACGGCGAGUAAAUAAAGCGCACAUCCCUUUGUGGGUUACCUCGGCAACAGAAAAACAGAAACAAGGAUUGGCAGAAAGUGCUCAGUCGGCCAGUCGAGCGCUCUUUAAUGUAGCUCUGACCUCAGUAGCCGCUGCUGACCCUCGUCCCAGGCCCUGACUUCCAGAUGAAGGGAAAGAAAAGGAGCGUCAUCUGGCCAGGAAAUCUGCCUUUCGGCGUCUGCUCCCACGGCUUCGGCCGUGACGGAUCGGCCCGUAACCAGCGCCGUGCCAGUCCACCGGGUCGCCCAGGCAGGCCUCGCCACCUCUCUGCCUGCAAGUGAGCGCCCAGCAUCACUGUCUGCCAGCAUGCCUGGACCCUGCCACCAGCCUCCUGCAUAAUGCACUGCCUGUAUUUAUAUGUAUGCAUAUAUAUAUGCAUUGUGUAUUUGACGAUGGUGUUAUAUUAUCAUCUAAAUUAACUAUUUAUAAUGAUUGUUUACCUUUAGUUUGUUCAUUUUAUGAAGCUAUAGAAGUUAUAGAAGCAAAAUAUCAAAAAAUAUCAAAAUUGGCAUAUGGAACCAAAAUCAUCGUUUUUGACGGUGUUGCCCCCCUUAAACUGCUUUAGAAUGCUGGAUUUUGUAGCGCAUUGAUUUUAGAACUGUUAAAAGGCUGAGGUGUCCCUUCAUUGCGAAAUAACUUGUUGCGAGGUAAAAAAUAAAAAAAUAAAAAACCUGGACUGGAGUUAAAAAAAAAACUGGACUGGAAGAAAAAAAAAACCUGGACUGGAAUUUCAAAAAAAACUGGACUGGAAGAAAAAACCUGGACUGGAAUAAAAAAAAAACUGGACUGGAAGAAAAAAAAACCUGGACUGGAAUUUAAAAAAAAACUGGACUGGAAGAAAAAAAAACCUGGACUGGAAUUUAAAAAAAAACUGGACUGGAAGAAAAAAAACCUGGACUGGAAUUUUAAAAAAACUGGACUGGAAGAAAAAAAAACCUGGACUGGAAUUUAAAAAAAAACUGGACUGGAAGAAAAAAAACCUGGACUGGUAUCGAAAAAAAACUGGACUGGAAGAAAAAAAAAACCUGGACUGGAACAAAAAAAAAACUGGACUGGAACAAAAAAAACCUGGACUGGAAGCAAAAAAAACUGGACUGCAAGAAAAAAAACUUGGACUGAAAGCAAAAAAAACUGGACUGCAAGACAAAAACCUUGGACUGGAAGAAAAAAACAUAGACUGGAUGAAAAAAUUACGGAGCCCCCUAAGGGUCAUGGUGGGGAUUUUUUUUUUUUUUUUUUUUGAGCUACUUUUGCGUUCCCUCGCAAUGCUUUUGCAUUACCUUGCAACGUUUGACACUCACAGCAGUUACACGCAGGCUACCUUUCCGUGCAACUCUGAUAAUUCAUCUUGCCCUGGCUCUACAUUUUGGACGGUGCAGUGGCAUGCGCCCUUUUGUGUAUGCCAUAUAUUAUGCAUGUACUUGCUUAUUUAUAUUUGUGGGCGUGAUCCCGUUCUAAACGCUUGGUCUAGUGUAGUAAAAACUUGACCCUUUUUCAGAGAGAAAAAAGUAUGAACGUUCUAACCUGUUGGCCUUAGGCCCCAAGUAAGAGCUUGCGAGAGCCUGUAAGAGAAGCCUGGGAAAAGGCGAUUUAGGACUCGCUGGGUGAAAAUCUCAGGUCAUGACGAUUUAGCCUAGGAGCAUGUGAUGGUGCGUGCCCAAAGAGCAGUGGCUGAAACCAGGCCUCUGAAGUUCUGGUGUCACGACUGAAUGGUGACGAUCGGAAGAAAAAGUGUGGAUCAGAGCCUGAACCCCCUGCGUGGAGAAUCUCAAUGGGCAUUCAGGAGGAAUUAGGGCCCCCGAAACAACUUUCAUCUUUGCGUUGUUGCUAGUUCCAUCUGUCAGCAUAACGCUCUUACUGUUUGAGGAAAAAAGGAACUUGUUAAAGUUAAAGGGAGAGGGGAAAAAAGCUAAUAUCACUAUUUGAGGAUCAGUGCUUUUUUGAAGUCAUUUUUUGAAAUGUGUAAAGUAUCCAGAGUAACCCUUUAAACUGGGAUAUGAAUUAUAUGAUCAAAUAGCAUGUUUGAUAUUGUUUGAGAAUUGUUUAAUUAUUAAAAAUGUAAAAAAAAGUUUGAGAAAUGGCUUCUGAUAGUCAUCUGGCUUUGUUCUUUUUGGAAACCAUGCUGUCAGUGUGUACGUGCAUUAGCUUUUCCUUAAAAUCUCCAAAAUUGAGUCAUUAAAAUAAUCAAAACUUA